GAAGGGGCAAGUCGCCGGACGGGGUGGAGCGGAGGGAAAGACGGGAUCCAAUCAGAGCUCCAGGCUGCCGCUUUAUUUGCAUAAAGGGACCCUCGCGUCGGCCGGUGGGGAGAAGGCGGAAGGGAAACCGGAGCACUUGGAGGCUGCCAUCUGACAGUAGCGUUCCAUUGUGCUAAACACAGAGUGAAAUCCUGGCCCUAUUGAAGUCACUGGAAGCUUUUCCAUUCAAUGGAGUCAGUCUUUCACCCAUAAUCAGACAGUCGCCGCCUUAAAGAACGUACAGUCCAAACAGAGAAGAAAGACAAAGGCUGGGUCUCAAGGAUCUUUAACAUGAGUAAAUCUAUGUCAAGUCAAUGGAACUAUGUGGAUUUACGCCAGCUGAAGAUCUGUCUCAGUGCUCCAAAGCAAGACAAAAGUUCUCCAAAAAGGGCUGGCCUAUGGCUCCAUUUCCUCUGCUGUUUUUCUUCACAG